rnacentral:lncRNA from 1 species
UUCUCUUCUCUCAACCUUUCUCCACCACCACCACCACCCCAAUAAUAACCGGCCACCACCACCAUUUCAAGCCACCACUUUCUCUUCUCCAUCUUCUUUAUCUUCUCCAUAACAACCGACCACCACUUUUGGCCUCCCGAAACACCUAAACCCACCUCCCCGCUCAAAAAGCACAUGAAACCCACCACCAUUUCCGGCCACCACUUCAGAUAUAACUCUAGAUCUGAAAAGCGUAUGUGGAUCUGACAACGUAAGUCAAUCGGAACUCUAGAUCUGAACCAGACGCACCUGAAAACCAUCGCCAUUUCCGGCCACCACUUCAGAAAUAACCGGCCACCACCACGUCGCUGAUGAUUGGGGUUAUCCUUUGUAAGGUUCGCUGGAGUUGCCGCAGUUCAGGUUUGAAAUUGGCUGUUUUUAUUUCUACAGGUACAACCGAUGCACUAAGUUUGGUAAUUGAUUCUGAAAGAAUGAGUCUCCAAGAAGAUCCAUUGUGAUCUAUAGAUCCAAACAAAUUGGAUAUGGGUUUGAAAUUAAUAGAAAAAAAAAAGCUCAGAAUUGGAUGGAUGGUUUCAUAAGUCGAUGCAUUUGGAUGAAUUUGGUGGGUGUUUACAAAGUCCAUCGUGGUCUUGAUUUGUUACCAAAUCACCUAUUAAUUAUACAAAUAGUCAUUGGAUAGGUUAAAAGACCAAAUUACCCUCAUGUGCAAAAUACAUGUCAUAUUUAACUAAAUUUUUAACAUGGUUAGUGCUAAAGGACGUACAGUCUAAUGGUUAUUGCAAAAAAAAAAAAAAGGACUGUGACUGUAAUUAUUGAAGUUAAAGGACAUCCAUUGCAAUUCGGUACAAACAUAAAGAACGAAAAGUGUAAUUUACCCUAUACCUUUCGUUUUAAAAAGAUUUCAUAGCUAUUAUAUAUUUUUUUUUGAUGAAGAACGAUCAAUAUUAACUUUAUUUUUAUAAUAAUAUGUAACUUUUUAUUAUUUUUUAUUUAAUAUAUUAUAACAGUUUAUUAUU